AGCUUCCACUUCAUCCCUUUCCUGGGUUUGGAGGAGGGUUGGAAGAACAAAAGGUGCAUCUUUUUUCUCAGCUGCCAGAGUUUCAGAGGUCCUGGGCAGUGUUAAUGAGGCACAACUGGGUCUUGUUUAAACACUAAAGGGUGAAGCCAUGAGAGAUAAUUGAAUGUAGAUGCACAACCCCAACAGAGCACCUGUGCUGCCUCCCUGGCAUGAGUCUUUCCUUAAGUGACACUGACUGAAAGGGCUCACUGAAAAACAAAAUCAACUGUUUUGCAGAGCGUCUAAAAUCAGGAAAUUGUCAAGGAAACCAAAUGAGAUAAACACUGAACUGUUUGGAAAUAACAUUUUGUUAUUGUUUGUUAAAUAGCUGCUUGAAAAAAGCAUGUAGCUCAUUACUGUGUUGCCUACAACCUAAGGAUGU